GGUUAAGCGACUAAGCGUACACGGUGGAUGCCCUGGCAGUCAGAGGCGAUGAAGGACGUGCUAAUCUGCGAAAAGCGUCGGUAAGGUGAUAUGAACCGUUAUAACCGGCGAUGUCCGAAUGGGGAAACCCAGUGCAAUUCGUUGCACUAUCGUUAACUGAAUACAUAGGUUAACGAGGCGAACCGGGGGAACUGAAA
rnacentral:rRNA from 1 species